rnacentral:rRNA from 1 species
CCUACGGGCGGCAGCAGUGGGGAAUAUUGGGCAAUGGGCGCAAGCCUGACCCAGCAACGCCGCGUGAAGGAAGAAGGCUUUCGGGUUGUAAACUUCUUUUUAGAGGGAAGAGCAGAAGACGGUACCUCUUGAAUAAGCCACGGCUAACUACGUGCCAGCAGCCGCGGUAAUACGUAGGUGGCAAGCGUUGUCCGGAUUUACUGGGUGUAAAGGGCGUGUAGCCGGGCUGACAAGUCAGAUGUGAAAUUUCGGGGCUCAACCCCGGACCUGCAUUUGAAACUGUUGGUCUUGAGUAUCGUAGAGGCAGGCGGAAUUCCUGGUGUAGCGGUGAAAUGCGUAGAUAUUAGGAGGAACACCGGUGGCGAAGGCAGCCUGCUGAACGGCAACUGACGGUGAGGCGCGAAAGCGUGGGGAGCAAACAGGAUUAGAUACCCGUGUAGUC